UAUGGCCAUACCACCCUGAACAGCCCAGUCUCAUCUGAUCUUGAAAGCUAAGCAAGGUCGAGCCUGGUUAGUAUUUGGAUGAGAGAUUUUUGGAUUUGUGAUGCUGAACCAUAU
ensembl:rRNA 5S_rRNA 5S ribosomal RNA